rnacentral:rRNA from 1 species
ACUAGAGCGUGGGAGCGCACACGGGUUGAGACCCGGGAGUGUACACGCUGUAAAUAUGUAAGGUUGUUGGGGAGUUGUAACGACAUCAGUGAAGCUACUAAGACAUUUAGUCUUCCUGGUGGGUACUACGGUAAGAUGAUUACACAUCAGAGGAAUCGAGGGCCGGCAGCACAAGUAGAUGAGCAUGUUGUAUAAUUUGAAGCGAGGCGAACAUCCUUUCGUAGACUCAAGUUCUCAUUACUUAAUAGAAAUGGGAGAAGCCCUUGGAAGCAGGACACCGGGUGGGCAUGGGUGUUCUUCAGCUCGGUUCGGAAAAGGUUGGGUAAAUCCCCGCAAGAAGGGCAACCCUUAUAGUUAGUUGUUCCCAUUAAGUGGAGCAUUCUAGCGAGCCUCCCCGGAUUAACCGGGGGGAAGGUGGGGAGGAGUUAAAAUCUUCAUGCCCUUUAUGUCAAGGGCUACCCACUUGUUACAAUGGCUGGUACAGAGAGAUGCAAUCCCGGGAGGGGGAGCCAUACUUCAAAACCAGUCUCAGUUCGGAUUGUAGUCUGAAACUCGCCUACAUGAAGUUGGAGUUGCUAGUAAUCGCGAAUCAGAAUGUCGCGGUGAAUACGUUCCCGGGCCUUGUACACACCGCCCGUCACACCAUGAGAGUGGGCUUUACCCAAAGUUGGUGAGCCAACCGUAAGGAGGCAGCGACCUAAGGUGGGGUUAGUGAUUGGGGUGAAGGAUCCGGGUUUGACCC